rnacentral:rRNA from 1 species
UACGUAGGCGCAAGCGUUGUCCGGAAUUCUUGGGCGUAAAGAGCUCGUAGGCGGCUUGUCACGUCGGAUGUGAAAGCCCGGGGCUUAACCCCGGGUCUGCAUUCGAUACGGGCUAGCUAGAGUGUGGUAGGGGAGAUCGGAAUUCCUGGUGUAGCGGUGAAAUGCGCAGAUAUCAGGAGGAACACCGGUGGCGAAGGCGGAUCUCUGGGCCAUUACUGACGCUGAGGAGCGAAAGCGUGGGGAGCGAACAGG